AUGAACGCUGGCGGCGUGCCUAAUACAUGCAAGUCGAGCGAACGGACGAGAAGCUUGCUUCUCUGAUGUUAGCGGCGGACGGGUGAGUAACACGUGGAUAACCUACCUAUAAGACUGGGAUAACUUCGGGAAACCGGAGCUAAUACCGGAUAAUAUUUUGAACCGCAUGGUUCAAAAGUGAAAGACGGUCUUGCUGUCACUUAUAGAUGGAUCCGCGCUGCAUUAGCUAGUUGGUAAGGUAACGGCUUACCAAGGCAACGAUGCAUAGCCGACCUGAGAGGGUGAUCGGCCACACUGGAACUGAGACACGGUCCAGACUCCUACGGGAGGCAGCAGUAGGGAAUCUCCCGCAAUGGGCGAAAGCCUGACGGAGCAACGCCGCGUGAGUGAUGAAGGUCUUCGGAUCGUAAAACUCUGUUAUUAGGGAAGAACAUAUGUGUAAGUAACUGUGCACAUCUUGACGGUACCUAAUCAGAAAGCCACGGCUAACUACGUG
rnacentral:rRNA from 1 species